rnacentral:rRNA from 1 species
GACAGAGGAUGCAAGCGUUAUCCGGAAUGAUUGGGCGUAAAGCGUCUGUAGGUGGCUUUUUAAGUCCGCCGUCAAAUCCCAGGGCUCAACCCUGGACAGGCGGUGGAAACUACCAAGCUGGAGUACGGUAGGGGCAGAGGGAAUUUCCGGUGGAGCGGUGAAAUGCGUAGAGAUGUGGAGGAACACCAGUGGCGAAGGCGGCUUUCUGGUCUGUAACUGACGCUGAGGCGCGAAAGCGUGGGGAGCAAACAGGG